rnacentral:lncRNA from 1 species
UGGGGCGGGGCAAUAUCGUUGCUAGCUACGCCGCCCCACAGAAUAGUAAAGUGGGACCCACAAAUGGGUCACCCGCCCCACGAGAAUGGACAAGUGUGACCCAUCGGUGGUUCACGCCGCCCCAUAGAACAGACACGUGUGACCCACCGGUGGGUCACUCCGGCGUGAACGUGUUAAGUUUAAUUUUAUUAACCCUUUUGAUCCCCUCCUAACAGUCUCCUCCCUCCCAAUUAAAAUUACUACCCUCUCGACGAAUGUAAAUACUAGUGCCAUCUACCAUUAUUCUUCGGUACUUUGUUUCACGGAUGCGACUCCUAUGUAGUAAUUCUGCAAAUAUAUUUAAUGGAAAUCGUAGAAUUAAUAAACUGCAUCAGAAAAAUAGAGAAGAUAAGUAUAUGUUUGGACCAACGAAAAAAAAGAAAAAUGAGACAUUGAUAAAAUCAAUAGUCGGUUUAAAAAAGGAAAACGUACCAAUGGAUUCAGAACUAUGGUGGAAUUUAAAAGUUAGUAGAUCUAGGAUGAACUUAAUACGGUUUAAAUCACAAACUAAUUGUAAAAUAAUAGGCAGUAUGAAAUGUAAUAAAAGUUAUGCAAAGAAUCUUCUGCUUGAUUGCAAUGAAAAUAAAGUUGCAUCCAAAAGCAAGAAAA